rnacentral:rRNA from 1 species
AAAAUUAAAAGGACGCGGUAACCUUGACCGUGAUAAUGUAGCAUAAUCAUUCGCCAUUUAAUUGAUGGAUAGUAUGAAUGGUUGAACGAAUAUUCCACUGUCUUAAAAAGAAAUAACUAGAAAUUAGAAUAAUAGUAAAGAUUCUAUUUAAAAUUGUAAGACGAAAAGACCCUAUAGAGCUUAACUAUAAGUUUUCUGAUUAAUAUUAAAAGAAAAUUUGGUAGUUUAGUUGGGGCGACUGUCUUUUAAAAUCAACAAAGACAAGCAAAAUUAAUAUAAAAAUUUAUUGUAUAAUUAAUAAAUUUAACAAUUACAAAAGUAGGCUAUAAUGACCCGUUAUUAUUAUAUAAAAAAAAUAACGAUCAAUAAAUAAAAGCUACCUUAGGGAUAACAGGAUAAUUUUAUUUUAGAGAUCUAAUCGAAAAUAAAGUUUGUCACCUCUAUGUUGAAUUAAGA